CAUCAGAGUUCUCCCGGUUCCUCCCAGCGAAUCACACAGCAGCUUGGUCAGCUUGCUUUCACGGUACGGGACGUGCCUGUCCCUGCCCUUGGCGUCCACCAGGGCGGCGAUACACUUGCCUGUGGUGAGGAGGCUGCGGUUGAUGUUUCCCGCCUCCUCCAGAAGCUCCGCCUUGCAGCCCGUGACCUUCACCCGCUCGCUGCCUGCCAGGUCCACCAAACUCAGCUUUCCCUGGGUGGCCCCGCCCCCUUCCACGCCCACCUGGAGGGGGGGGGAGGGGUGGACAUAGGCAGGUGAGCACUUCCUCAAACAUUUUUUUUGACCUGCAUAUAUAUUCUUGUUCUUUCUGGAGGAGGAGAGGGGCUCACUGAUUGGCUCCCGACAUAGACGGUCAGGAUGGCGUGACCGCGACUCGACCGCUCGUUUAGGAGGUGGGAGGAGGUGUGCCUCCUCCUCUGGCCUGGAACAGAAGAGACGCAGACACACGGAUGGUUUGAGGACGAACAGGCGGACGGACGAACGGACGAACAUUGUCAUGACGACCUCAUGCCACACCGUCGCACCCACCCUCCGCCAGGAGCUUGUUGAAGUCGUCCAGGCUGCGGAACUCCACCGGGGCCAGGUUCUCCACACGGAACCCUUGGGUUCCGCUCCCUCUGACGGUUAGCGGGCAGUGCGGCCGGGGGUCCAGGAGGUCCCGCACCUGCGGGGGGGACAGGUGGAGUCUGCUGUGGGUGGGAGCCGGAACCAGAACCAGAACCAAAACCAGAACCGAAACAGGAACUGAACCAGAACCAGAACCGAAACAUGAACUGAUCCAGAACCAGAACCGAAACAUGAACUGAUCCAGAACUAGAACCAGAACCGAAACAGGAACUGAACCAGCAUCAGACACAGAACAAAAAACAACUCUUCCCCUCUGCACUCACGACCCUUGACCCCCCUAGUCACCUGCUCAUUGUAGAUCUCCAGGUAGGAGGCCUGGAGGGUGACCCCCCCACCUGUGGGACACACCUGCAGCAGGUGGGACAGGCACCUCUGCAUCAGCCCGUGAGAGGGGAGUCCAUGUGCGCCCUGCUGGAACUGCAGGGGGGAGACAGAGAGGAGGCUAGGGCUGCUCGACUGGGAGUAAGAACUGGGAAUGUCAGAACUGGGAAUGUCAGGACCGGGAAUGUCAGAUCUGGGAAUAUCGUGUCAGGGAAAUGUUCUGUGCUGAGAUGUGGGAAUGCUACGGUACCACAGAGUGGGGUCCGGUGAUGGUGAAGGUUUUCCCCGAUCCGGUCUGUCCGAAAGCAAACACUGUACAUGAGUACCUGCAAAAAAAAAAACGAAACAUUCCUGAAACAAGGCAUGUCCUUGGACUAGUGCCAGUACACAUACAUACCGCAUAAAACACAAAAAUAGAACAAG